rnacentral:rRNA from 1 species
CCGACGGUGAGGGGUGAAGGCUGGGGGCGCAAACCGGAUUAGAUACCCGGGUAGUCCCAGCAGUAAACGAUGCCAGCUAUGUGUUGCUGGAACCAUGGGUUCCAGCAGUGCCGAAGGGAAGCCGUGAAGCUGGCCACCUGGGAAGUACGGUCGCAAGGCUGAAACUUAAAGGAAUUGGCGGGGGAGUACCACAACCGGUGGAGCCUGCGGUUUAAUUGGAUACAACGCCGGGAAUCUUACCGGAGGGGACAGCAGUAUGAAGGCCAGGCUAAAGACCUUGCCAGAUCAGCUGAGAGGAGGUGCAUGGCCGUCGCCAGUUCGUACCGUGAGGCAUCCUGUUUAGUCAGGCAACGAUCGAGACCCGCAGUCUUAUUUGCCAGCAUGCCCUUUGGGGUGUAUGGGUACAAUAAGACGACCGCCAGCGCUAAGCUGGAGGAAGGAGCGGGCUACGGUAGGUCAGCAUGCCCCGAAUCCUCCGGGAUACACGCGGGCUACAAUGGUCAGGACAAAAGGUACCGACCUCGAAAGAGUGAGGUAAUCCACAAACCUGAUCUCAGUCCGGAUCGAAGGCUGCAACUCGCCUUCGUGAAGAUGGAAUCGGUAGUAAUCGUGACUCAAAAUGUCACGGUGAAUAUGUCCCUGCUCCUUGCACA